rnacentral:rRNA from 1 species
CAGUCGCCACGGUAAUACGAAGGGUGCAAGCGUUACUCGGAAUUACCGGGCGUAAAGCGUGCGUAGGUGGUGGUUUAAGUCCGCUGUGAAAGCCCUGGGCUCAACCUGGGAAUUGCAGUGGAUACUGGGUCACUAGAGUGUGGUAGAGGAUAGUGGAAUUUCCGGUGUAGCAGUGAAAUGCGUAGAGAUCGGAAGGAACAUCUGUGGCGAAGGCGACUAUCUGGGCCAACACUGACACUGAGGCACGAAAGCGUGGGGAGCAAACAGGAUUAGAUACCCGCGUAGUCCCUGUCUCUUAUAA